GAACCACUUUAAGGAUCAUUUUUGCAGCCAACUCUGGAGCCUCCUUUAAAUGCUUUUGAAUCAGCAGCUCCUGGGUUUGCAACACUGCUCAGAAUGCAGAGUAAAGGGCACCGGUGCUAACGAUUCUCACUGCUGCUGGCAUCCUGUUUGAAGGUUUCAUGUGAUUUUUAUUUUAACUUUUUGGAUUCCUUUACCAGUCACCACUGGAUUUUUUUUGUUACCCCUGAUGUGGCCUCUUGUGGCGUGAGCACGAUGAAGAAAUGUUUCAGAAGCCUGGCAAUGUGAUCUUUAUGUAAUGAGUCAGGAUUCGCUAAGGGAAGGGAGCAGAGGGCUGAGGAAUCAACCUACUCCAGCAGGGGAAUGACAAGCAGUGCUGCUGCUGCUGCUGCCCGGGCUCUCCCACAUACACUAUUCUCACAGCUCCUGUGAAAUGACACUCCACCACCCACCACUUCCUACACAGCUGUAUACCGCAGGGAAAAUGAGGGACUUUUGGGGGCAGAUGUGUUUCACUUACACUACCAUAAUGCCCCUAAAAAUCCUUAUUGUUCUUGCAGUGUUCUUCAGAGUCUCACACUGGAACAGAGCAAAGAAGGAGCUUGACUGCUGGAAAUCUAAAGAGCCAUUUUGAGCCUUGUCUUUUUUUGACUUUUUACUAAAAUAGAAUCGUGAAUAAAAUAAAAGCAAUAAAAUAAUUUCCAGAGAUUGGAUGGAUUAAUAGGCAUGUGCUGACUCUUUUAUUAACAGAUGGGUUUAUUAUGUUCAUUCUUCUGACAAUGACUAAUUGGCUUUGCAUAUUUAAGUAAAGAUUUAGAUAAAUAUCUUGUAAUAUGAUAUACAUUUUAUUUAUUAGGAAUACAUGUAUUACAAAUGCAAUGAGCUAUAAAUGUCCACAUAACUUUUUAGUUGCAGCCACUUAAUAGAAUUCUGCAAUUUGACUACAAUGGGAAGUGCUACAAGCAGCUACAAGUAGCACUCCUUCAUUAUACCAUACAACACAUUUCCUGCUUCUUAUAAUGCGAAUAUAACACAAUAGCACAGCAUAAAAUACAGCAUCUGACUGACCAGCCAGAACUAAGAAUGCAAGCUGGACCAAUAACACCUUCAUAAACAUUUGGGGAAAUAAAAAAUAGAGAUGUAAACGGAUAUUCAACUAUUAACAUUCUGGGGACACAUUUUACAAUUUGGUAGCUAGAGCUUUGGUUUUAUCUAAGUGAGCUACAACCUCCAGAACCCCUGGAAAAAAAGCUGGAAUUCUGAGAGUUACAGCUAAAUAAGAUCCAGAGGGCUUCAGAUUGCCUUUUAUUUGUGCAAGGUAAGCAGCUAUGCUUGACUAUGAACCUAGAAUAUUUUAGAAUAAAUAAUAGGCAUGCUUGUAAUAUAUCAAGGCAAUUAGUGGAGCAUUUUGUUAAAGCUUCUUUGUCUUAAACACACACACACCCAUAUAAUAUGCAUUUAUGAGAAUAUGAGAAAAAACAUCGGUACUCAUAGGUCUUGUGCAAGAUGUAUAGCUUAUUAGUUAACCAAUGUUUCAGUCUCCACCCAGCCCUUUUUUAUGUCUUACACCUAAAGAAGUGGAAAUGUUAGGUCACUGUUCACUUAUAAGAAGAGGUAGUGGCUUUCACAAUUCAAAUAAAUAUAGAAAUUUGGAUCCAACACUAGUCUUCUUUGUUCCUCUUGAGAUUUGUCCCUCUCUCCUCUAAAGUUCAUCCAUCAGGCGACACAGAAUGAAAUCAAUCUGCUAUGGAUGUCAAUGCUAGUGUUUCAUGGGCAGCUUUAUUUGCUUCCCUUACAUGAUGAACAGGUGAGGAGCUCGAGCAUUGCCUGGCCGUGCCAGAGGUCCUUCAUUUCUUCAUUUCCUUCCUGCAAAUAAACUCAUUAUAAGCAAACAUUAUGCAAGUACAGCUGGAAUUUUAUAUUGGCUUUACAUAUAGAAUCACAUUCAAACUCUGCUGGCAUAAUACAGACUUGCUGUAUUUAUUGAACCAUGUUCAAAAUUCUUUGGUAUGCUUCCAAUGGAUUUGUACUUAAAUGAAUGACUAUGAAGCUCUUAAUGCUCCUGUAAAAUGGAUCUUUCUUGCAUAAAAUAUGUGACUGUGUGAAAAAUAAGAAAGAUGGUUGCUGGAGAAAAAUUGCAGUUGAAUGUACAGUAUGAAAUUUUGAAUUAUGUAAAUAUAGUCAUAAUUAACCAGCCCAGUCCUAUAGUAUUUUAUUUAUAUUUCUAUAAAGUUUACAUAUGCACCAGUAUGAAAGAGAUUAAUGGACCUAGAUGCUUCUUUAAAAUGAUGUAACUAUAUAACGGAAACCUACCUAAGAACCUAGGCUGAGCAUAAAGAUUACUUAAACAUAAUAAUGACGUUGAAACAAAUGCAGAUUAUUAACAUAUUUUUACCUUUAUAGGAUUAUCUACGUGCAGUACUGUGCAGUACUGGGCCCAAUGUAACUCCAGAUUUAAGUAGGAGGCUUUUAUAGGAAAUACUUUAGAGUAGACUUGUGGAUAAACAGAAAAGCGUCCUCAUUUUUGAUGAUUGUUUAUUUUGCCGAUUACUUGACACUUUGAUGAAUCUCUAUAAGGUCAGAGCACAGUGUACUUGCAAGUCCAUUUGCUUCUCUAUGUUGUUCCAUUAGUUCUUCCUCUUGUUCUGUCCCCUUGUACCCUUUACUUUUAAGCCUUUCUCUUUCCAUCAUUGUAAGAGAGAGUGUGCAGAACAAGCCGUAAUAUUUAUGACAGCACUAUUUAUUGAAGUUGUUCCACUUGAUAUGUUUGCUUUGACAGUCUUUAAAAAAUAAAACAUGUUAAAAAUGGAAACAGCAUAACAAUUCUGAUAAAUAAUAGGCUUUAACUCCUAUUUUGAAUAGCAUGUAGUAUAAAUUUUAUAACGUCCCUAAAAUUGUUUUUUUGCAUUAAUAUUUUACUGUUUCAGCAUCUGGAAACCAUUCAUCUUAUGACAUUAUAUUAACUAUCUAAGAGGCAGCAGCAGCUGUAGUAUCUAUGGUGCUGGUAUAAAAGAGUCUACAUUCUGGACUGCAACAGGCAAUGAAAAGGUUAAAGAGUAGAGGUAAAAAUAACCACAGAAGCAUACAUAUGUAUCAAAUAAACAUAAUCUCAUUCAAAGCA